GGUUGAUUCGUCUAGGGGUUAGGACGUCAGAUUUUGAUUCUGAAAGCCUGGGUUCGAUUCCCAGAUCGACCU